rnacentral:rRNA from 1 species
ACGCUCGACACCUACGGGGGGCAGCAGUAGGGAAUUUUCGUCAAUGGGGGGAACCCUGAACGAGCAAUGCCGCGUGAGUGAAGAAGGUCUUCGGAUCGUAAAGCUCUGUUGUAAGAGAAAAAGGACGCAUAUAGGAAAUGAUAUGCGAUUGAUGGUAUCUUACCAGAAAGCCACGGCUAACUACGUGCCAACAGCCGCGGUAAUCUGAGCGGGCUGGCAAGGC